rnacentral:lncRNA from 1 species
CUUUUUAAUUCUUUCUCCUGGUGUGUCUGCUCCACCGCCCGAGCUAAUCCCCCAAAUCCGGUCUCCUAAGCCGCAGCUGCUUCCCUUCGCAGUGAUGAAUGGCUCAGGGAGGGAAGAUCUCUGGUGAGUGUUCCCCCAGCCUGGCGUAGGGCAUGCCCCAGUUCACUUUCGCCUGCUUCUGUGGUCUCCACGGCUUCUGCAAAAUGAAGAGGAAGAAGGAGGAAGUUCACAGAGAGCGGGAGACGGCGGUGUGAUCAGAACCAGGGCCCCUCCAUCAAGCCCCCAGCAGGUCCCAGGCCUGAUGGUGCCUGCUUCUGGCUGGGGCUUGGAGCAGGAAGCCGUGUGUGUAUCUUAAGUCUUGAUUUAGCCAGUGCUCUUCUCAGCCUGACUCUCACCCGAGGGCAUCAGCCUCCUGUGUGCCUCUCAUCCUCCUCAUGCCCACACCCAUUAGCUUCCAAUUCUCAGACCUCCUUGGAGAGAGGCCCCAGCCACACAAGGGGGAACCCCAGGACCUGCCGCAUGCCUUCCAGAGACUGAGAAGCCCCAGGGAGGCCAAGGAGUGAAACUUCUUUCCUGCCCUGAGAGCUUCGGGGGACUCUUCUCAGGCAUCACCACCACCACCACCACAACCACCUGCAGAUAGAUGCUCAAGUGAUUCUAGAAGAGAUCUCAAGGACUGGCGCUCUGCUCCAGUUAUGUAACCCAUGGGCUUCCCUUUGCACAGCUCCUCAUGUGCCCAUCUCCAUGCUGAUCAAACCACCCCACCUCAUUCCUUGCCUUCUGCAAGGGGAAGUGCCUCAGGCUGGAGUUUGUCCUAUCUACAGACUGAAUAUGCAUUUUGCCCAGUGGCUGGAGAGUUGCUGGUGGUGGAAUGUGCUGGUGAUUGUUUCUGGAUGGAGAGCCACAGCCCCCCAGUGUUCUGCCAUGACUGACUCCUGACCUUGGCAAAUUGCCUCCUCUCUCCCAGCCUCCUCCAUAACAGGUGGCGAUGAGUCCCAUUUCCUCCCUACCUCACAGGAAGGCACGCAUUAUAAAGGGCACACUUAUCAGAUGUGCCCAGAUGUGGCUGGAACUUUUGGAGACAGAUACUUGGUUCACAACUGCAAAGGUGGGCUUUCACCAGAGAAGAAAAUCUCUGGGCUGCUGAGUUCAGUGGGCUCCUUGCAGGCUGGUCCAGGAAGUCUGGUGUUCCUCCUGAAGGUGGCUGCUAUGUCCAGCAGGUGAUCAAGCUGACAGUACCACAAGAACCAAGAAACAGAAUCUGUUCCCAAGGAAUGAACAUUCUAUCUCUCUGACCCAAAAGCAAGAGCAAGAGAGAGCUGUCACCAUCAUCACCCUGCUCCCAACACAAACACAGCCCCCCAAGUCCAUAUUGCUGACAAGGGUGUCUGCCUUGUCAGGGUGAAUCCUCUGGACCCCCAGGCCAUCCCUGGAGUGGUCAGUGCCCACUGUGCCGGGGUUAUUGUGGCCAGUCCGCCUGGGUUCGCUUCUCUAAAUUUCCAUGGCGUAGGAACUAUAGAUCAUGAAGAAGAAACAGGAACCUUGACUCUUCACGGAGGAGCCCAGGAGGUCAGAACCAUCCACCAGGAGGGUGAGCGGUAGCUGCCCAGGGCAUCCCUGGAGGAAGUCGUCAUACUGAAGAAGAAAUUGCCAAAGCCAAGAGCUCCCAGACCUGGGCAGCUCAGGAGCUGACAGAAACCACCCCCCAAGUCUGGAGUUCAAGGGUUUUCCUCGUGGGCUGCUGGUCUGUCUCUUUCCCUUCUGGGGCAGCCGUCUCUCCUCCUUCAGCUCAUUCCCGUGUUCCAUCUGAGGGGCGGGAGGAAGGCAGGAGGGGGAGAUGGCAGGACCCAGACAGAUCCUCAGGACUCUCCCAGCCUCUGUUGCCAUGGCAACACUGCUAUUUUUAUCCCGUUGUUCAUGAUGCUCAAAGCUCUAACUUUCUCUGUUCCAGAGAGGCCAGGCUGGUUUCUGCCCUCAUCCUUUAACACAGCAUCUUCUCCCAGAGGCCUGAGGAUGGGAAAAAGUGAUGGAGAAAAGGGGAACCCCUAAGGUCACCCCUCAGCCAGGGGGAACUGUUUAACAGGGGUUUGUCUCUGCCCUUUUGAGCCUUUGGUUUUCUACCUGGCUCAGGCACCCAGGUUUAUGUUUUCUAGAUCAAAACUCUGCAUGGUCUCCCUGAGAGACUGCUCCAGAGAGAAAAGAGCUGCCAAUCAGGAUGGAUUUUUUCCUACACAGGUAUGACACUGCAGCCACUUCCCUUCUUGGGAAAAUUAAACUUCAUUCUGAAGAAUGUCCUGUUGGUGGUAUAAGCCAACCCCCGCCCUCCUAAAAGGGGAUAGAUAAUUAAAUUUGGUUAAUUAGCAAUCAGAUUCACUGGGGAAUUGAAACCAGUACUUCCCUUUCUUCUGUCCCUCCACCAAAGAACCGGAACAAAUGGCUUCAUGUCUUUGUCCAGUCUUUCUGCCUAAAGCAAAAUAGCAUAUAUUCUCCAGGCUGAAAAGUAGAUUCCUCCUCACCCCUACUCAAGACGGCCACAUUUCAAUCCAGGCUCUUGAAGACAGGGUCUAAUGAAAGGAUUUCUGUUCUUUCUCUGUCUGUUCCCUCUGGCCCAGCUUCUAGUCCUCUCCUUAUGUCCCCACCUCCAUGGCAGUGGCAAGAGACCCCUGAGAGUCAAUGGUGCUAACGUUCCCCACCUAUAUACCCCUAUGUAGUUUAUCGAGAUUUGAACCCAGCACCUGGGUGGCUGUGUUGGGCGGAUACAUUUCACAUCCUCAAGACCACAACCCUGGCGACAGGUCUGGAUAAAUUCUGUAAAGUAGCAAUCUAUAUCAUGCUAAACUCCUGCACUGAGGUUCUACCUCGGCUGAACUGACUCGUGGAUGGUUAAGUUUCCUGGGGUGGCUGGAACCCAUUUACUAAGCCUCUAAUUGGUUUCAUUUUGGCUCAAGUUGCAUGGUUUCCCGAAUCUAUGCACCUGGAGUAAGCACUUUUCUGGUUGCCACUGGAAAGCAUGC